UACGAAGGGUGCAAGCGUUACUCGGAAUUACUGGGCGUAAAGCGUGCGUAGGUGGUGGUUUAAGUCUGUUGUGAAAGCCCUGGGCUCAACCUGGGAAUUGCAGUGGAUACUGGAUCACUAGAGUGUGGUAGAGGGUGGCGGAAUUCCCGGUGUAGCAGUGAAAUGCGUAGAGAUCGGGAGGAACACCCGUGGCGAAGGCGGCCACCUGGGCCAACACUGACACUGAGGCACGAAAGCGUGGGGAGCAAACAGG
rnacentral:rRNA from 1 species